rnacentral:rRNA from 1 species
AUUGAACGCUGGCGGCAUGCUUUACACAUGCAAGUCGAACGGCAGCGCGGGCUUCGGCCUGGCGGCGAGUGGCGAACGGGUGAGUAAUACAUCGGAACGUGCCCAGUAGUGGGGGAUAGCUCGGCGAAAGCCGGAUUAAUACCGCAUACGACCUGAGGGUGAAAGCGGGGGAUCUUCGGACCUCGCGCUAUUGGAGCGGCCGAGGCAGAUUAGCUAGUUGGUGGGGUAAAGGCCUACCAAGGCGACGAUCUGUAGCUGGUCUGAGAGGACGACCAGCCACACUGGGACUGAGACACGGCCCAGACUCCUACGGGAGGCAGCAGUGGGGAAUUUUGGACAAUGGGCGAAAGCCUGAUCCAGCAAUGCCGCGUGUGUGAUGAAGGCCUUCGGGUUGUAAAGCACUUUUGGCGGGAACGAAAAGGACUGUGCCAAUACCACGGUUCGAUGACGGUACCCGCAGAAUAAGCACCGGCUAACUACGUG